rnacentral:rRNA from 1 species
UCCUACGGGAGGCAGCAGUAAGGAAUAUUGGGCAAUGGACGCAAGUCUGACCCAGCCAUGCCGCGUGAAGGAUGAAGGCCCUAUGGGUUGUAAACUUCUUUUAUACGGGAAAAAACCGCCGGUCGUGUAUCGGUGCUGAUGGUACCGUAAGAAUAAGCAUCGGCUAACUCCGUGCCAGCAGCCGCGGUAAUACGGAGGAUGCAAGCGUUAUCCGGAUUCAUUGGGUUUAAAGGGUGCGCAGGCGGAUUAAUAAGUCAGUGGUGAAAUCCUACGGCUCAACUGUAGAACUGCCAUUGAUACUGUUAGUCUUGAGUAUUGUUGAGGUAGGCGGAAUGUGUCAUGUAGCGGUGAAAUGCUUAGAUAUGACACAGAACACCAAUCGCGAAGGCAGCUUACCAAGCAAUAACUGACGCUCAUGCACGAAAGCGUGGGGAUCAAACAGGAUUAGAUACCCUAGUAGUCCAA